rnacentral:lncRNA from 1 species
AAUAGUUUUGUAGGAAAUUAAUUUUAUUUUAUUUUCAACUUGUGCAUAGUACUGACAGAGUACCAUACGUCAUUACUCUGUUUAUGUAAUGUAAGUAUUUAGAGUGCCACAAAAUAUCAUUUUCUAAAACUGCCAUUGACCUAGCUUGCCUACUAAUUUAGUUCUUUUUUUUUUUUUUUUUUUUUUUUUUUGAGACGGAGUCUCGCUCUGUCACCCAGGCUGGAGUGCAGUGGCGCGAUCUCGGCUCACUGCAAGCUCCGCCUCCCGGGUUCACGCCAUUCUCCUGCCUCAGCCUCCCGAGUAGCUGGGACUACAGGCGCCCGCUACCACGCCCGGCUAAUUUUUUGUAUUUUUAGUAGAGACGGGGUUUCACCGUGUUAGCCAGGAUGGUCUCGAUCUCCUGACCUCGUGAUCCGCCCGCCUCGGCCUCCCAAAGUGCUGGGAUUACAGGCGUGAGCCACCGCGCCCGGCCACUAAUUUAGUUCUUUUAAUAUGGAGUCUUCUUUGCCAAGAUGGUUUACAGUCUUUUUUAAGUUGCAAAAGUAAUAUAUGAAGGCAUACUUGGAAAGUUUUUAAAAUGAUACCAGAUUCAUGUGUUUCUUGGUAGUAUUAUU